UCUCUUUCUCUCUCUAUAACAAAUGCUCCUCAUUCUCUCUAGAACCUUCUGGUUCUUUCUUCUCCGAUGAACUCGUCGCCUUUCCGACCAUACCCCUCCCUCACUUCUCUCGAUCUCCAGUCGCUAUGGAACCCUCAUCAUCGUUGUUCUCAUAUGAAGCACGAAGCCCAAAGACCUCCGCCAUGAAAUACGAUCGCUGAAGGAUUUGCUUGGGUCCUUCGCCGGCUUUUCUCUGGUGGUUUUUGUCCGAUGAUGCCUUCUAUAGCAUUAUAUACGAGUUUCACGGCCAUGUUCUUCGUUUUCCUUAAUUUGUUUGCAAAUCCUAAUUUUUCUACUUGAACC
rnacentral:lncRNA from 1 species